GACGAACGCUGGCGGCGUGCUUAACACAUGCAAGUCGAACGGUGAAGCGCCUUCCUUUUUGGUGGGUGUGGAUGAGUGGCGAACGGGUGAGUAACACGUGAGUAACCUGCCCCCUUCUUCUGGAUAACCGCAUGAAAGUGUGGCUAAUACGGGAUAUUCUGGGUCUGUCGCAUGAUGGGUCUGGGAAAGAUAUUGUUUCGGUGGGGGAUGGGCUCGCGGCCUAUCAGCUUGUUGGUGGGGUGAUGGCCUACCAAGGCGGUGACGGGUAGCCGGCCUGAGAGGGUGGACGGUCACACUGGGACGGAGACACGGCCCAGACUCCUACGGGAGGCAGCAGUGGGGAAUAUUGCACAAUGGGCGCAAGCCUGAUGCAGCGACGCCGCGUGAGGGAUGGAGGCCUUCGGGUUGUGAACCUCUUUCGCCAGUGAAGCAGGCCUGCCUCGUUUGUGGGUGGGUUGACGGUAGCUGGAUAGGAAGCGCCGGCUAACUACGUG
rnacentral:rRNA from 1 species